rnacentral:tRNA from 1 species
GGGGCCGUAGCUCAGCCCGGGAGAGCGCAUGAAUCGCACUCAUGAGGUCGUGGGUUCAAAUCCCAUCGGCUCCACCA